rnacentral:rRNA from 2 species
CACUGGCCCAACUGAUUGAUGGUGCUUGCACCUGAUUGACGAUGGAUCACCAGUGAGUGGCGGACGGGUGAGUAACACGUAGGUAACCUGCCCCGGAGCGGGGGAUAACAUUUGGAAACAGAUGCUAAUACCGCAUAACAACAAAAGCCACAUGGCUUUUGUUUGAAAGAUGGCUUUGGCUAUCACUCUGGGAUGGACCUGCGGUGCAUUAGCUAGUUGGUAAGGUAACGGCUUACCAAGGCGAUGAUGCAUAGCCGAGUUGAGAGACUGAUCGGCCACAAUGGAACUGAGACACGGUCCAUACUCCUACGGGAGGCAGCAGUAGGGAAUCUUCCACAAUGGGCGCAAGCCUGAUGGAGCAACACCGCGUGAGUGAAGAAGGGUUUCGGCUCGUAAAGCUCUGUUGUUGGAGAAGAACGUGCGUGAGAGUAACUGUUCACGCAGUG